CGUAAACGAUGCCAACUAGCGAUCCGCCGGCGGAUUUCUCGCCCUGGUGGGGAGCUUCCCGGAAACGAAAGUCUUCCGGUUCCGGGGGAAGUAUGGUUGCAAAGCUGAAACUUAAAGGAAUUGACGGAAGGGCACCACCAGGAGUGGAGCCUGCGGCUUAAUUUGACUCAACACGGGGAAACUCACCCGGGCCGGACACCGCGAGGAUUGACAGAUCGACAGCUCUUUCUUGAUUCGGUGGAUGGUGGUGCAUGGCCGUUCUUAGUUCGUGGAGCGAUUUGUCUGGUUUAUUCCGAUAACGAGCGAGACUCUAGCCUGCUAAAUAGUGCGCGCAUUGCCUCGUGCGUGCCACUUCUUAGAGGGAUUGGCGGCUCCCAGCCGCACGAAACUGAGCAAUAACAGGUCUGUGAUGCCCUUAGAUGUCCGGGGCUGCACGCGCGCUACACUGGCGAAGGCAGCGUGCCUGUCCUGCCGCGAAGGCGGUGGGUAAACCAUGGAAAAUUCGCCGUGAUUGGGAUCGGAGAUUGCAAUUAUUCUCCGUGAACGAGGAAUUCCAAGUAAGUGCGAGUCAUCAGCUCGCGUUGAUUACGUCCCUGCCCUUUGUACACACCGCCCGUCGCUGCCCGGGACUGAKCCAUUUCGAGAAAUUUGGGGAUCGGCGGACGUGCCCUCACGGGUGCCCCGCUGCCMACCAACUUAAUCGCAGUGGCUUGAACCGGGCAAAAGUCGUAACAAGGUAGCUGUAGGUGAACCUG
rnacentral:rRNA from 1 species